rnacentral:lncRNA from 1 species
AAUUUUCUGAUUAGGUUGCACAGAUUCUCUUGUACAUUAGCUCUAGCUGAUUAAUUUAGCCUUAAUGUUUAUGUUUGGUCCAGAGUGGCAGGAAUUUGAUAGUAGGGUUGGUAAGACUGCUCGGCAUGUGUGGAGAUCAGAUGGAAGUGGUAAUGCUAAUGUAAAUCUUAACCUCUCUAUGCAUUUAAGAUGGUUUCUUUUGCUGU